ensembl:lncRNA
GUGAAGAGGAGGUAUUAAUCUCUGAACUCAGUUAUAAGACAGGAAUGCCUACUGUCGAGCACAUGUCUAUACAUGAGCCAAAGGGUUUAUUGCAUAGGCAAUGCCAGAAGACAAUUAUGACAAUUAGGCAGUCUUUUUGACCUGUUUUAAAUGGACUAAUAGUAGGGAUUAUUAUCAGUUUGUAUUUUGUUCCAGUAGCAAUCUGGAUCUGUCUGCACUGAGGAUUCAGCACAAGCUGUGCAAGCACAGAGACCAUUUCUGUCUAGUCUGGCAUGCUGCUGAGCUACAGGAUGGGGACAAGGAACAGCGACGCUGGCAGAGAGCAGAGGAACCACCCCAGGCUCACUGUAGCUGAUGCUCACAAAGUGGUGGCACAGCUAUAUGAAAGGACUGUUCAUUUUCAUCACCAUAUAAAUAAUGCUAUAAUAUUAGCAGUUUGUGGUUUCUGCUUCAGCUCUGUGCCUCAUUUCUUGUGGCAUGUAGAGUAACGGAAUUCAGAAGGAAAUGUAAUUAUCCUUCCCAAUUCCAAUCCUGCCCAGCUAAGCCAGAACUGAGCCUUAGCGCUGGGAGAUGGGCUUCUUUGUGUUAGCAGUGGGUUCCCUGAGGGUACACAUGCCUGGAAGAAGAAAGUAGCGCUCAAAAGAACCAAGAAGGGAAUCAGCUGCUGCAGUCAGAAGCUAUUCAAAGGAGUAAAAGCAGUUUUGGUGGUUCAUUUAAAGCCAAGAGGAAAUAAGAUUUCCACUUGGAGAACAGUGCAAGAAAACAGAGCUUAGUGUAGACUGCUGGGAAAACGAGUCUAGAAGGUUCACAGAAGACUGCAAAAGCCAAGAUGCUCUGGAAGGGAGGCGGCUCCUCUCUGAUCCACCAUGUGGCUGAAAGGAGACCAAGGUGCUCAUGCCUGCCAGACACUGUAAUUCCAACACUGAGGUCACUAAUCACACAGUAUGCCGUACUCCAAAGAUCAGUUUCUUCUCCCUGGAUGAGGAACACAGCCCUUGUUUCCUCCUUGUGCUCCAAGAAAGUGAAAGGAAGAGAGGACUAGCCACCAGCACAGCAUUCUCCAGAGCUGUCCCCUGGACAGGGCUGCACCCCCAUCACACCACUCAGUGAGCAGGCAGAACUGGCUGCACUCACUUCUUGGACAACCUUGUGCCUUCACUGACACAAACAGGACCAUAACUUUAAUAAAAAACAGCAGAGCUCAGUCUAGUCUUAACUU